rnacentral:rRNA from 1 species
GAUGAACGCUGGCGGCGUGCCUAAUACAUGCAAGUCGAGCGAACAGACGAGGAGCUUGCUCCUCUGACGUUAGCGGCGGACGGGUGAGUAACACGUGGAUAACCUACCUAUAAGACUGGGAUAACUUCGGGAAACCGGAGCUAAUACCGGAUAAUAUAUUGAACCGCAUGGUUCAAUAGUGAAAGACGGUUUUGCUGUCACUUAUAGAUGGAUCCGCGCCGCAUUAGCUAGUUGGUAAGGUAACGGCUUACCAAGGCAACGAUGCGUAGCCGACCUGAGAGGGGGAUCGGCCACACUGGAACUGAGACACGGUCCAGACUCCUACGGGAGGCAGCAGUAGGGAAUCGUCCGCAAUGGGCGAAAGCCUGACGGAGCAACGCCGCGUGAGUGAUGAAGGUCUUCGGAUCGUAAAACUCUGUUAUUAGGGAAGAACAAAUGUGUAAGUAACUAUGCACGGCUUGACGGUACCUAAUCAGAAAGCCACGGCUAACUACGUG